CAUUUAUAUGUUUGGAGACAAGGUGUCACUGUGUAGCCCAGGCUAGCCCAAGCUCACAGUAAUUUGUCUGCCUUUGCAUCUUGAGGGCUAAGGCCAAAGGCCUCUGCUACCUGACAAAAUUCGCAAUUCUUUGACUGGUCUGUUUCCCCCACAGAGCAGUUUCUCUGAGUUCUUUGAGGGAAUGUGGUUUUGUUAAGGAGCAGCUUGCUCUCUGAGGGAGGGGCAGCAUCUCCUACAGUGGGAGUGCAGAGGUUGCUUUUCUCUCUGUUAUCUGCUUCUCUAAAACACAGCAGGAUGCCACAGGCGGGAGGAGGACCGGCCUUCUGACUUUCCUUGCCUGGUGGCAUGAGUGGGCUUCCCAAGACAGCUCCAGCACCGCUUUCGAAGGGGGUACCCCGGAGCUGUCUAAGCGGCAGGAAAGACCACCCCUCCAGCAGCCCCCACACCGGGAUAAAAAGCCCUGCAAGAACUUCUUCUGGAAAACCUUCUCCUCGUGCAAGUAGCCCGAGCCUGACCGGAGCCUGACCGGCCACCCUGUGAAUGCAGCCGUGGCCUGAAUAAAGAGUGUCAAGU
rnacentral:lncRNA from 1 species